GACGAACGCUGGCGGCGUGCCUAAUACAUGCAAGUAGAACGCACAGUUUAUACCGUAGCUUGCUACACCAUAGCCUGUGAGUUGCGAACGGGUGAGUCACGCGUAGGUACUCUGCCUUGUAGCGGGGGCUAACUAUUGUAAACGUUAGCUAAUACCGCAUAAUAUUAAUUAUUGCAUGAUAAUUCAUUGAAAGGUGCAAUUGAACCACUACCAGCUGGAUCUGCGUUGUAUUAGCUAGUAGGUGGGGUAACGGAUCACCUAGGGGACGAUACAUAGCCGACCUGAGAGGGUGAACGGCCAAACUGGGACUGAGACACGGCUCAGACUCCUACGGGAGGCAGCAGUAGGGAAACUUCGGCAAUGGACGAAAGUCUGACCGAGCAACGCCGCGUGAGUUAAGAAGGUUUUCGGAUCGGAAAGCUCUGUUGUAAGAGAAGAACGGGUGUGAGAGUGGAAAGUUCACACUGUGACGGUAUCUUACCAGAAAGCGACGGCUAACUACGUG
rnacentral:rRNA from 1 species